rnacentral:rRNA from 1 species
UAUUGCACAAUGGGCGCAAGCCUGAUGCAGCCAUGCCGCGUGUGUGAAGAAGGCCUUCGGGUUGUAAAGCACUUUCAGUCAGCAGGAAAGGUUAGUAGUUAAUACCUGCUAGCUGUGACGUUACUGACAGAAGAAGCACCGGCUAACUCCGUGCCAGCAGCCGCGGUAAUACGGAGGGUGCGAGCGUUAAUCGGAAUUACUGGGCGUAAAGCGUACGCAGGCGGUUUGUUAAGCGAGAUGUGAAAGCCCCGGGCUCCACCUGGGAACCGCAUUUCGAACUGGCAAACUAGAGUGUGAUAGAGGGUGGUAGAAUUUCAGGUGUAGCGGUGAAAUGCGUAGAGAUUUGAAGGAAUACCGAUGGCGAAGGCAGCCACCUGGGUCAACACUGACGCUCAUUACGAGG